UGGGGAAUAUUGCACAAUGGGCGCAAGCCUGAUGCAGCCAUGCCGCGUGUGUGAAGAAGGCCUUCGGGUUGUAAAGCACUUUCAGCGAGGAGGAAGGUGGUGAGCUUAAUACGCUCAUCAAUUGACGUUACUCGCAGAAGAAGCACCGGCUAACUCCGUGCCAGCAGCCGCGGUAAUACGGAGGGUGCAAGCGUUAAUCGGAAUUACUGGGCGUAAAGCGCACGCAGGCGGUUUGUUAAGUCAGAUGUGAAAUCCCCGGGCUCAACCUGGGAACUGCAUUUGAAACUGGCAAGCUAGAGUCUCGUAGAGGGGGGUAGAAUUCCAGGUGUAGCGGUGAAAUGCGUAGAGAUCUGGAGGAAUACCGGUGGCGAAGGCGGCCCCCCUGGACGAAGACUGACGCUCAGGUGCGAAAGCGUGGGGCAGCAAACAGGAUUAGAUACCCUGGUAGUCCACGCUGUAAAACGAUGUCGAUUUGGAGGUUGUGCCCCUUGAGGCGUGGNUUCCGGAGCUAACGCGUUAAAUCGACCGCC
rnacentral:rRNA from 1 species